UACGUAGGGGGCAAGCGUUGUCCGGAAUCAUUGGGCGUAAAGCGCGUGUAGGCGGCUCGAUAAGUCUGCUGUGAAAGUCCGGGGCUCAACCCUGGGAUGCCGGUGGAUACUGUCGAGCUCGAGUCCGGAAGAGGCGAGUGGAAUUCCUGGUGUAGCGGUGAAAUGCGCAGAUAUCAGGAGGAACACCAAUGGCGAAGGCAGCUCGCUGGGACGGUACUGACGCUGAGACGCGAAAGCGUGGGGAGCAAACAGG
rnacentral:rRNA from 1 species